AGGGGCCAUAGCUCAGCUGGGAGAGCGCCUGCUUUGCAAGCAGGAGGUCACCGGUUCGAUCCCGGUUGGCUCCACCA
rnacentral:tRNA from 1 species